CUUCAACGACCCCAGCCACAGCGGCUGUUCGCGGCUGUGGUCCUGGCCGUAGGUGGCGAUCAGGGCCUGCGCCUC
rnacentral:antisense_RNA from 1 species